CCUACGGGGGGCAGCAGUGAGGAAUAUUGGUCAAUGGACGAGAGUCUGAACCAGCCAAGUAGCGUGAAGGAUGACUGCCCUAUGGGUUGUAAACUUCUUUUAUAUGGGAAUAAAAUGUUCCACGUGUGGGAUUUUGUAUGUACCAUAUGAAUAAGGAUCGGCUAACUCCGUGCCAGCAGCCGUGGUAAUACGGAGGAUCCGAGCGUUAUCCGGAUUUAUUGGGUUUAAAGGGAGCGUAGGUGGAUUGUUAAGUCAGUUGUGAAAGUUUGCGGCUCAACCGUAAAAUUGCAGUUGAAACUGGCAGUCUUGAGUACAGUAGAGGUGGGCGGAAUUCGUGGUGUAGCGGUGAAAUGCUUAGAUAUCACGAAGAACUCCGAUUGCGAAGGCAGUUCACUGGACUGCAACUGACACUGAGGCUCGAAAGUGUGGGUAUCAAACAGGAUUAGAUACCCGGGUAGUC
rnacentral:rRNA from 1 species